rnacentral:rRNA from 1 species
CGAACGGGUGAGUAAUAUAUCGGAACGUAUCCAAUAAUGGGGGAUAACUAGUCGAAAGAUUAGCUAAUACCGCAUACGCCCUGAGGGGGAAAGCUAGGGACCGCAAGGCCUGGCGUUAAUGGAGCGGCCGAUAUCUGAUUAGCUAGUUGGUGAGGUAAAGGCUCACCAAGGCGACGAUCAGUAGCUGGUCUGAGAGGACGACCAGCCACACUGGAACUGAGACACGGUCCAGACUCCUACGGGAGGCAGCAGUGGGGAAUUUUGGACAAUGGGCGCAAGCCUGAUCCAGCCAUUCCGCGUGAGUGAAGAAGGCCUUCGGGUUGUAAAGCUCUUUCGCAAGGGAAGAAAACUUAUCCUCUAACAUAGGAUGAGGUUGACGGUACCUUGAUAAGAAGCACCGGCUAACUACGUGCCAGCAGCCGCGGUAAUACGUAGGGUGCGAGCGUUAAUCGGAAUUACUGGGCGUAAAGCGUGCGCAGGCGGUUUUGUAAGUCAGAUGUGAAAUCCCCGAGCUCAACUUGGGAACUGCGUUUGAAACUGCAAGACUAGAAUAUGUCAGAGGGGGGUAGAAUUCCACGUGUAGCAGUGAAAUGCGUAGAGAUGUGGAGGAAUACCAAUGGCGAAGGCAGCCCCCUGGGAUAAUAUUGACGCUCAUGCACGAAAGCGUGGGGAGCAAACAGGAUUAGAUACCCUGGUAGUCCACGCCCUAAACGAUGUCUACUAGUUGUUGGUGGAGUAAAAUCCAUGAGUAACGCAGCUACGCGUGAAGUAGACCGCCUGGGGAGUACGGUCGCAAGAUUAAAACUCAAAUGAAUUGACGGGGGCCCGCACAGCGGUGGAUUAUGUGGAUUAAUUCGAUG